GAUCUCAGUUGGACAAGUGAGAAGGAACAGAGGACAGACGCGCCCAGCGUCACCCCAGCAGGUUUUGUCUGCUUAAACGCAGGGCGUGUCUAGCCUGGCUCCACUCACACCACCCAUUUCCAAGAGCCUGGUCCCACCACAGCCACUUUCCUGUUCUCAGUCUGUCAGGACAGAGGCCUGCGUUGUUCCCAGUGCUCAGAGAUGCUCCUGGUGCUCAUUCUGGUCCUGGGGUUACAUUUUGCCCCGAGAGAUGCCAGAGCUCAGUCAGUGAGCCAGCCUGACGCCCAAGUCAUUGUCCGGGAAGGAGCCCCUCUGGAGCUGAGGUGCAAGUACACCUAUGCUGGAGUCGUUUAUCUCUUCUGGUACGUCCAGUAUCCCGGGCAGGGCCUCCAGCCUCUCCUCAAGUACUAUUCAGGAGACACCCGGGUUCAAGGCAUCAAAGGCUUUGAGGCUGAAUACAGCAAGAGCCAAUCUUCCUUCCACCUGAGAAAACGCUUUGCGCACUGGAGCGACACAGCUGAGUACUUCUGUGCUCUGAGUACCACAGUGCCUGGGGCUGCAGAGGGAGCUGAACAAAAACUCUGAGACGCCAGGGAGGAUGACUGCACUUGGAAGGCUUCGGGUUCUGAUACAGCGGAAGCCAUGGUGUUCCUAUCCCACAGUAGGAAAUGUUCAGGACUUGC